rnacentral:lncRNA from 1 species
AUCUGAUGCCCCUUCCUGGAGAGAGACUUCGGUGAGAGACUGGGGGCUUGGAGGUCCAUGCCGGAAAGCACUGGGGAGCUGGCUAGGACACAAGCUCAGGAUGUCUCUGUAGUGGCAAAGUUUGAAAUGGGAAAAGUGAUCCAGCAUCUUAAGAAGCUGAGUCAAAAAGCCAAGCCUCUCACCUAAGCAGUGAUUUUUAAGAGGAAUGAAACGGGACUGGAUGCAAGUUUCAGAAGGACAAUUCUGGCAUUGAUUCCUGGAGGGCACUGGUAUGAGUAUUGAGAAGGCUGUUUUCAUGCCACCCCAAGUCACGAUAUGUGCAGCGCGUUUCAUCCAUCUCUACUCAGAAGUCCCAGAAUUGUGUGUGUAUGAAUCACUUGAAGCCUGUUAUUUUUUGAGUCACUAAGCCAGC